GGGGAGAGGCUGCCAUUCACAUAUGUAACUUUGGCAAGUUCAACUACAUGUUCAGCACUGGAAAAGAAGAGGAAGGGUAGUAUUUAAACAAGGCUGGCAACUCUGCUCUCACCUCCACUCUCCUUUUGAGUCUAGAUAGUCCUGCCUCUCACAGUGUGAAAAUCUCUGCUGUGAUGUGAGUCUCUAGAGUUCAGACAACUGUGGGUACUGGUCUUGUAUUUUAUACGUUUUGGGUCCUAAAUUUAAGAUACUGCCUUAUUGGGUGCUCAGCCAAAGAAAUAGCCAACUCUUCCAGUGCUGAGUGGCUUAAGUUGUCUUCAAGAGUAAUUUUAACUUAUGGGGUUUUCACUUUAAAUGCUUUUCGUAGAAGCUAAUGCCUCAGUGAGACUAGAUUCCUCUAUCAUAACAGCCGAAGGGAAGCCAGUCUGUGACAUCACAAAAUGGGAGCUUCUGAGCAGUCAGGACAGCUUUCCCAGAGGAGGCGACUGCCAGAGCUGGCUUUGGAAGAGACUGAACUUCAACAAUUUCUCCAAGGAGCACCAUCUUCUUUUUGUGAGAAAUGAUAUUUCAAGACCACAGUCCAAGAAUACUGAUUACUACUGAGUAGACCUCAAGUCAGAAUUCAUGGUCCAUAAGUGACAGUGGAACCGGUAAAGUAGAGACAACAGAAGCCCCCUUUGCUCUACUCCAGGCUUGGGUCCAGACCAAAGUGAAGAAGGGAAGUAACUGUAAUUAGUAAAUUAGCAGAAGAAAAUUGUACAGGACAGAAACUUGCAUCCAUACAAAGAAGGAAGAAUAAAUGAAGUGUGCUGGAAGCCAGAAGUCCAAAAUCAAGGUCUCAGCAAGGUCAUGCUCCCUGAAGGCUCUAAGAGAGAACCCUUCCUUUGCAGCUUCCACCUUUGACUUAUCCAUUUGUGGAAUAAUCCUUCUUUUCACCACUGAUCUGCCAUGACAGAUAAGUGAACUGUUUCUGGAAUCUCUAUUCUAUCCAGUGUUCAAAUUUUUUAUCCCUGCCCCUAUACCAUGUUAUCUUGAUAACUAUAGCUGCAUAAUAAGUCCCAAUUGCUGAUAGGACAAGUCUCUCCUCCGUACUUUGUGUCUCUAGAAGAUAUUGACUUAUUUGGGCUUAUCACUCUUCUAUAUAAAUUAAGAGACAAUAAAGAUCUAAAUAAAGAAAUCUAUUAUUUUUAUGAAUAGGAUAAUAACAUAAAGAUGCCAGUUCUCCCCAAUAUGAUUUAUAGAUUCAAUAAAAUUAUAAUCACAAUCCCAGCAAGGUGUUCAUGGAACUUGGUAAGCUGAUUCUAAAAUACAUGUUCUCUUUGAUCCAGCAAUUCUGUUUCCAGUAAAAUAUAUUCUACAUAUACUUGCACAUGUAGGCAAAGUGAAUGUACAAAGAAAUUCACUGUAGCAUUGUUUAUACCAGAAAAAAAAAAGAUUGGAAACAACUUAAUAUCAACAAAGAUGGAACUGAUUAAAUAAAUUAUGGAACAUCCAUACAAAGAAAUACCAUAAAAACAUUUUUAAAGAGCAAGCCAGCUCCAUAUACAUAUAUAUUAUGAGCUCCCACAUACAUUGUUAAGUGAAAAAGAGCAGAAUAUACAGCCGCUCUGGAAAACAGUGUGGAGGCUCCUCAAAAAAUUAAAAAUAGAUCUACCCCGUGACCCAGCAAUAGCACUGCUAGGAAUUUACCCAAGGGAUGCAGGAGUACUGAUGCACAGGGGCACUUGUAUCCCAAUGUUUAUAGCAGUGCUUUCAACAAUAGCCAAAUUAUGGAAAGAGCCUAAAUGUCCAUCAACUGACAAAUGGAUAAAGAAGAUGUGGUUUAUAUAUACAGUGGAAUACUACUUGGCAAUGAGAAAGAAUGAAAUCCUGCCAUUUGCAGCAACAUGGAUGGAACUGGAGGGUAUUAUGCUAAGUGAAAUAAGUCAGGCAGAGAAAGACAGAUACCAUAUGUUUUCACUCAUAUGUGGAUCCUGAGAAGCUUAACAGAAGACCAUGGGGGAGGGG